UUAAAAUUUUUGUAGUUGAAUGA
rnacentral:tRNA from 1 species